AUUGAACGCUGGCGGCAUGCUUUACACAUGCAAGUCGAACGGCAGCGCGGGCUUCUGCCUGGCGGCGAGUGGCGAACGGGUGAGUAAUACAUCGGAACGUGCCCAGUAGUGGGGGAUAGCUCGGCGAAAGCCGGAUUAAUACCGCAUACGACCUGAGGGUGAAAGCGGGGGAUCUUCGGACCUCGCGCUAUUGGAGCGGCCGAUGGCAGAUUAGCUAGUUGGUGGGGUAAAGGCCUACCAAGGCGACGAUCUGUAGCUGGUCUGAGAGGACGACCAGCCACACUGGGACUGAGACACGGCCCAGACUCCUACGGGAGGCAGCAGUGGGGAAUUUUGGACAAUGGGCGAAAGCCUGAUCCAGCAAUGCCGCGUGUGUGAUGAAGGCCUUCGGGUUGUAAAGCACUUUUGGCGGGAACGAAAAGGACUGUGCCAAUACCACGGUUCGAUGACGGUACCCGCAGAAUAAGCACCGGCUAACUACGUG
rnacentral:rRNA from 1 species